GGUGAACAUGUCGAAGACCACUGAAUAAUUGAGAAUGUUUUGAAGGUCAUGAGUGAAGUAUAUAAUUAAAUUCCAGUUCUGUGCACAGUUUAUGAUAUACCACACUGUUCGGUUUAACACGUACAGCACAUUCACACAAAAACAAUCGUGUUGUGGGAGAUUAUCGGUUUGAGUAGAAGGUAUCACAAUUUUAGUUUUUUACAUUGUGUGCCAUUGAUCAAAUCCACCAUAUAAUAUAUGAUUACUCAUUGUAGCUGUUAAGUUUAUUCCAUACUAAUGAAUUUAGGUAAGAUUGUCUUGCAAGUUGGUUGUUCUGACAAAAUUAUCCAGCCAAUAUCCAGUAGAUUUAUUCUUC